rnacentral:lncRNA from 1 species
GGUCAAUUUUCUCUCGUGUUUUACAGGAGCUUUCAGGGCAGGAAAUGUGAUCGGGCAGCUGAUUUAUGUCCUCACCUGGUCUUUGUUCACCAGCCUUUGCUCCAGCCCCCCGCACUGCUGCAGGGCCAGAGGACAUCUCCUGAGGGGAGUCCCACCCUCACGCCUCCUCCAGCAACCGCUGACCACCAGAACUCGAGCUGGCCCCGCUGAGAUGGGGACAUCCUUGAAGGCUCAUUCCCGUGUUUUGUAUGAAGGGUGCCCAGGCUGGUGGGGGUCCCUGGCUGCAAAGGCCUCACCUAAGGCUGAGGCCCGGGGCCCAGGAACCAGCCUCGCCUGAGGGGCAGCUGCCCCCGGGGGAAGGAACUGAUUGCCCAGGACGACUUUUCUUUUUGAGCUCAGAGUUCUUGUCUGAUGUUGUAGCCAAAUCCUUUUAUUACCUCUGCGGACAGGGGUGGAGGGGUCACGGGGAGACACUUGCACCCCCUUUUGUCUGGAGGAAGGAGUGGCUAGAGGCCUUAGCCUCCACUUCCUGGGGCUACCUCCCGAGAGAGGACCCUCUUAUUUGUAGCUGGUGGCUCUAAGCUUUUGGGGAGUAGCAAAGAGCAUGUUCAGAAAACUUCCCGCAGACCGUCCUAGUGCGACAGCUGGGCUCCACACAGCCCCAGCUCUGUCCCUCUUCUGCCAGGUGCUGCCCUGUUGAGAGCCACAGCCGAAGGGGCCCCAGCAAACUUCCAGCUGCCGGCUGAUGAUUGGCUCACAGCGGCCCCAGCAACAUCUAGCUGAUUGGCUCCUCUGCGGUGAUGCUCAUUGGGCUGUUUCCCUGCCCUUUCAGACCACGGAGCUGCUCAUUGGGGGACUUUUUUGGCUCCGCCCACGUGACCCAGCCAAUCGGCCUCAAGAGCAGGAGGAUUGUGGGAGGUGGAGAGAAGCUGGUGUGGGAGAGAGAGGCUUGUGGAAAGCCAGUGGUGGCAGUUGGGCUCUGAGGGUUUUUCCUGAGGAGCUGUUUUGUUUGGCGUGUG